rnacentral:snRNA from 1 species
AUGCUUGCUUCAGCAGCACAUACACUAAAAUUGGAAUGAUACAAGAAGAUUACCACAGCCCCUGAGCAAGGAUGAUGCGCAAAUUCAUGAAGCAUUCCAUAUAAAA